AGGACCGUUUCUUGUUCUUCUAACUACAGAGACAGCUGUAAGGACCGCCGAAAAGGGUUGGACUCAUGCGUCGCGAGUGAAAGGACCUCUUCUCUGGGAUCACUG